AGGUUGAGUGGAGAGAAGCUGAGAUCAAGCAGAGAGAAGCUGAGGUUGAGUGGAGAGAAGCUGAGGUUGAGUGGAGAGAAGCUGAGGUUGAGUGGAGAGAAGCUGAGGUUGAGUGGAGAGAAGCUGAGGUUGAGUGGAGAGAAGCUGAGGUUGAGUGGAGAGAGGCUGGGAACCAGUGAUGAGAAGCUGAGGUUGAGUGGAGAGAAGCUGAGGUUGAGUGGAGAGAAGCUGGGGUCAAGUGCGGAGAAGCUGAGAUCUAGUGAGGAGAAGUUAGGGACCAGCGGGGAGAAAUUGGAGGGUUCAAGAAUGGGGAGCAUAAAUGAGAAGAACAUUGAAAAAGUGGUAGAAGUUACUGGUGAUGAAAGAGUGAUGGCAUUUACUGAUGAUGAGAUGGAAAUUCCUUUUGAAAGUGUCAAAGGGAGUGAGGAACUACAAGGGACUGAGAAAGGAGUGGGAGUUGAGGGGAGCAUCUUGAGUGAAGUGAAAGAUAUCACUGAUGAAUCUGUUUCUAUGGAAAAGAAAGAUAUUAUAGGUGAAGGUACCAGUGAAUGAGGCAGAUGAAGGAUUGACACCAAAGAAGGAAAGAGGCAGACAGGAGAAGUACUGAAAGUCAGAGGAGAAAUUAGAGCCAGGCAGAACAUUAUUGACACUGAAGGGGUAAAGUUGAGAAAGGAAAGGAGAGAGUCUGAGCCUAAAAUAAAAGAGAGUGGAAGUGAGGAAAAGAGCUUCUGGGGCUGAAGGCGGAGGCCAGGAUCAAAGGAAGCAAAGAGGAGUGUCUGGUUCAGAGGGAAGUGGGAACAUAUGGAGGAGAAAGAGAAGACUUGGUAACGUGUUGACAGAGGACACUUGGAUAUUGGGAGAAAAGCUGUGACUGGGAGCUCAUAGGGAAAUGUUUGAGAAAAGGAUGGAGGAUGGGCUAGAAGGAUUUAGUCUGACACUAAAUGGGGUCUAUGAGAUGGAGAAUUGCAGCAGGAUAAAGGGUAGAUUUUGAGAGUUGUGGAAGAAGGUGCAGACUGAAGUGGGCAAAAUUUCUGAAAGAGGAGCCUGAAGAAUGAAGGGCUCCCAAGUGACAAAAGCAGGAGAGGAGAUAAGAAAGAAGUGAGAAAAAACACAAGAAGCCACGUGCCAUAAUGGUGAUUGUGUUUGUUGGUUCUACCCAGUAGACACUGCCAGAGCCAGGCACAGAGUCCAGGCAGCCUGA
rnacentral:lncRNA from 1 species